rnacentral:rRNA from 1 species
AUUGAACGCUGGCGGCAGGCCUAACACAUGCAAGUCGAACGAGUGGCGGACGGGUGAGUAAUGUGUGGGAAUCCAGCUUAGGGAGGGGGAUAACUACGGGAAACUGUAGAUAAUACCGCAUAACCUAGGAUGAGCCCAUGUGGGAUUAGGUAGUGGGUGAGGUAAAGGCUCACCAAGCCGAAGAUCUCUAGCUGGUCUGAGAGGAUGACCAGCCACACUGGGACUGAGACACGGCCCAGACUCCUACGGGAGGCAGCAGUGGGGAAUAUUGCACAAUGGGGGCAAGCCUGACACAGCCAUGCCGCGUGAAUGAAGAAGGCCUUCGGGUUGUAAAGUUCUUUCAGUAGCGAGGCGUUACCUACAGAAGAAGCACCGGCUAACUCCGUGCCAGCAGCCGCGGUAAUUC